CUUUAUCUGGGGGAUAGCCUUUCGAAAGGAAGAUUAAUACCCCAUAAUAUAUUUGAUGGCAUCAUUAGAUAUUGAAAACUCCGGUGGAUAGAGAUGGGCACGCGCAAGAUUAGAUAGUUGGUGAGGUAACGGCUCACCAAGUCAAUGAUCUUUAGGGGGCCUGAGAGGGUGAUCCCCCACACUGGUACUGAGACACGGACCAGACUCCUACGGGAGGCAGCAGUGAGGAAUAUUGGACAAUGGGUGAGAGCCUGAUCCAGCCAUCCCGCGUGAAGGACGACUGCCCUAUGGGUUGUAAACUUCUUUUAUACUGGGAUAAACCUACUUACGUGUAAGUAGCUGAAGGUACAGUAUGAAUAAGCACCGGCUAACUCCGUGCCAGCAGCCGCGGUAAUACGGAGGGUGCAAGCGUUAUCCGGAUUUAUUGGGUUUAAAGGGUCCGUAGGCGGACUCGUAAGUCAGUGGUGAAAUCUCAUAGCUUAACUAUGAAACUGCCAUUGAUACUGCGGGUCUUGAGUAAAGUAGAAGUGGCUGGAAUAAGUAGUGUAGCGGUGAAAUGCAUAGAUAUUACUUAGAACACCAAUUGCGAAGGCAGGUCACUAUGUUUUAACUGACGCUGAUGGACGAAAGCGUGGGGAGCGAACAGGAUUAGAUACCCUGGUAGUCCACGCCGUAAACGAUGCUAACUCGUUUUUGGGUUUUCGGAUUCAGAGACUAAGCGAAAGUGAUAAGUUAGCCACCUGGGGAGUACGUUCGCAAGAAUGAAACUCAAAGGAAUUGACGGGGGCCCGCACAAGCGGUGGAUUAUGUGGUUUAAUUCGAUGAUACGCGAGGAACCUUACCAAGGCUUAAAUGGGAAUUGACAGGUUUAGAAAUAGACUUUCCUUCGGGCAAUUUUCAAGGUGCUGCAUGGUUGUCGUCAGCUCGUGCCGUGAGGUGUUAGGUUAAGUCCUGCAACGAGCGCAACCCCUGUCACUAGUUGCCAUCAUUCAGUUGGGGACUCUAGUGAGACUGCCUACGCAAGUAGAGAGGAAGGUGGGGAUGACGUCAAAUCAUCACGGCCCUUACGCCUUGGGCCACACACGUAAUACAAUGGCCGGUACAGAGGGCAGCUACUAUGCGAAUAG
rnacentral:rRNA from 1 species